GAUGAACGCUGGCGGCGUGCCUAAUACAUGCAAGUCGAGCGAACGGACGAGAAGCUUGCUUCUCUGAUGUUAGCGGCGGACGGGUGAGUAACACGUGGAUAACCUACCUAUAAGACUGGGAUAACUUCGGGAAACCGGAGCUAAUACCGGAUAAUAUUUUGAACCGCAUGGUUCAAAAGUGAAAGACGGCCUUGCUGUCACUUAUAGAUGGAUCCGCGCUGCAUUAGCUAGUUGGUAAGGUAACGGCUUACCAAGGCAACGAUGCAUAGCCGACCUGAGAGGGUGAUCGGCCACACUGGAACUGAGACACGGUCCAGACUCCUACGGGAGGCAGCAGUAGGGAAUCUUCCGCAAUGGGCGAAAGCCUGACGGAGCAACGCCGCGUGAGUGAUGAAGGUCUUCGGAUCAUAAAACUCUGUUAUUAGGGAAGAACAUAUGUGUAAGUAACUGUGCACAUCUUGACGGUACCUAAUCAGAAAGCCACGGCUAACUACGUGCCAGCAGCCGCGGUAAUACGUAGGUGGCAAGCGUUAUCCGGAAUUAUUGGGCGUAAAGCGCGCGUAGGCGGUUUUUUAAGUCUGAUGUGAAAGCCCACGACUCAACCGUGGAGGGUCAUUGGAAACUGGAAAACUUGAGUGCAGAAGAGGAAAGUGGAAUUCCAUGUGUAGCGGUGAAAUGCGCAGAGAUAUGGAGGAACACCAGUGGCGAAGGCGACUUUCUGGUCUGUAACUGACGCUGAUGUGCGAAAGCGUGGGGAUCAAACAGGAUUAGAUACCCUGGUAGUCCACGCCGUAAACGAUGAGUGCUAAGUGUUAGGGGGUUUCCGCCCCUUAGUGCUGCAGCUAACGCAUUAAGCACUCCGCCUGGGGAGUACGACCGCAAGGUUGAAACUCAAAGGAAUUGACGGGGACCCGCACAAGCGGUGGAGCAUGUGGUUUAAUUCGAAGCAACGCGAAGAACCUUACCAAAUCUUGACAUCCUUUGACAACUCUAGAGAUAGAGCUUUCCCCUUCGGGGGACAAAGUGACAGGUGGUGCAUGGUUGUCGUCAGCUCGUGUCGUGAGAUGUUGGGUUAAGUCCCGCAACGAGCGCAACCCUUAAGCUUAGUUGCCAUCAUUAAGUUGGGCACUCUAAGUUGACUGCCGGUGACAAACCGGAGGAAGGUGGGGAUGACGUCAAAUCAUCAUGCCCCUUAUGAUUUGGGCUACACACGUGCUACAAUGGACAAUACAAAGGGCAGCGAAACCGCGAGGUCAAGCAAAUCCCAUAAAGUUGUUCUCAGUUCGGAUUGUAGUCUGCAACUCGACUACAUGAAGCUGGAAUCGCUAGUAAUCGUAGAUCAGCAUGCUACGGUGAAUACGUUCCCGGGUCU
rnacentral:rRNA from 1 species